AUGGAUGGAAGGAUGAAGGUGUAUUUCUCAGAGGCGUCAGUGGUCGGAGCCUUUGCGCCCGCACACAGCCGCGCGCGCGCGCAGACGCUCGCACUCUCGCUCGAGAGUCUGAAGAAAAGCUGCGUUCCUCCUUGAGCGGGACAGAGAAGUGAGUUUAACACCGAUCAAAACUUCAACGAUUCACUCAGUGCCCGAUGUGUUUUCCUCAGCGGAACGCGCGAACAUCUGAUGGCGGAUUUUAGUCGAUCGCGAGUGAAGAUGUUGACAGGACUGAGCAUCACACUUCAAUAAGAGGCUUCAUUUACAGACCAACACUGAAGUGCAUUGUGGGGGAUUUCUACCGUUCCUGAAACACCAGCGCCACACUCUCUGAGGAGACCCAUUUCCAUCUCAAAGGUGUGUAACCUGUGAAUGUGCAGAUGAUCCGGGCAGGACGACAGAUCGGGACGUUUUGACUGCUUCGCGCGGCCACAGACAGACGGACAGACGCAGCGCAGCCGGCCGUCAGUGUGGAGUAACUGUGGCGAGAGAGAGAAGCGCGUGUGUGUGUUUGUGAGGCAGCGACACACACACGCUCAUGUCCUGCUGGUGUAGGCGGGCGGCUCGGGUCUCAGGGAUGGAGCUACAGGUCUGGAUGGAAACUGGGCGGACGCGACUGCUGGUUUUUUGGGGUCUGAUGUCGCUGCUCUCGUCCGUUCAGGGUGAGUAUCGUGUACUUUCUGCAGUCGUCGGGACGGGUGAAUCUAUUUUUUGUGUGCUGGUAUUUAUGUCGCGUUAUGAUCCGAGCGCUUAAGUUAUGUCUGUUUGUGUCUAAACCCCCCCGUCUCCUUUCAUGUUUGGAUUAUUUGUCGGACGCUCGCCAUGGCUGCGUCUGCCAAAUAUGCACUGGGGAGAAGUGCAAAAUACACCCCGUCUGGAGUAUUCAUGAUGCGUACUGUUUGCAUU